AGUGGCAGACGGGUGAGUAACAUGUGGGUAUCUACCCUUUGGCCUGGAAUAACACGAGGAAACUUGUGCUAAUACCGGAUAAGUCUUUACGGAGAAAGCUUUAUGCACCAUUGGAUGAGCCCGCACUUGAUUAGUUUGUUGGUAGGGUAAUGGCCUACCAAGACUAUGAUCAAUAGCUGAUUUGAGAGGAUGAUCAGCCACAUUGGGACUGAGACACGGCCCAAACUCCUACGGGAGGUAGCAGUGGGGAAUCUUGCGCAAUGGAGGAAACUCUGAUGCAGCGAUGCCGCGUGAGUGAAGAAGGCCUUUGGGUUGUAAAGCUCUUUCGUCGGGGAAGAAAAUGACUGUACCCGAAUAAGAAGGUCCGGCUAACUUCGUGCCAGCAGCCGCGGUAAUACGAAGGGACCUAGCGUAGUUCGGAAUUACUGGGCUUAAAGAGUUCGUAGGUGGUUGAAAAAGUUGGUGGUGAAAUCCCAGAGCUUAACUCUGGAACUGCCAUCAAAACUUUUCAGCUAGAGUAUGAUAGAGGAAAGCAGAAUUUCUAGUGUAGAGGUGAAAUUCGUAGAUAUUAGAAAGAAUACCAAUUGCGAAGGCAGCUUUCUGGAUCAUUACUGACACUGAGGAACGAAAGCAUGGGUAGCGAAGAGGAUUAGAUACCCUCGUAGUCCAUGCCGA
rnacentral:rRNA from 1 species